UAAAUAAGGAAAACUUUAGGACUUAUAAAGACAUGAAGCAAAUUAUAGCCAUAUACGGUAAUAGUUGAAUGCAAUUUUUACCGGACAUCUUUUCCUUCGAAAUCGAAUUUUCGAUCGAUUUUAAUAAAGUUCGGAGGAGAUCAUGGUGGAUUAAUGAAGGUGGUCUCACUCAACGGUUCUCUUUGUUUGAGUUUCUCUUUCUCUCAUUUAACUGGCACACGUACGCAAACGAGGGCAAGUUUCUUUGGUUGUGUUGAGAACAAUGCCAAUGACAUCUUGAUGACGAGAUGGCGGAUUGAACUACUUGAUUUGUGGUUGCUAAACAAAUGAGACCACCUUUAAUUGUUUCGCCAUGGGAGGAGAAAUAAGCGGCAUCAUUUAAGCAGAACGUAGAUGGCUCGUCGUAAAUAUUGGUCAAAAUUUAUUUUUUUGAAAUAUAUAUCAUUUAUAGUUGCUUCAUUUUUCAAAUUGUUUACAUAAAAUUUUAUGAAAAUAAAAGUCAUUUUAAACCAA